AGAGUUUGAUCCUGGCUCAGGAUGAACGCUGGCGGCGUGCUUAACACAUGCAAGUCGAACGAAGCAGCGGCGCGGAACCCUCCGGGAGGAAGCGCUGCUGACUGAGUGGCGGACGGGUGAGUAACGCGUGGGUAACCUGCCCCAUACAGGGGGAUAACAGCUGGAAACGGCUGCUAAUACCGCAUAAUCCUGCGGGGCCGCAUGGCCCUGCAUGGAAAGCUUUGGCGGUAUGGGAUGGGCCCGCGUCUGAUUAGGCAGUUGGCGGGUAACGGCCCACCAACCGACGAUCAGUAGCCGGCCUGAGAGGGCGACCGGCCACAUUGGGACUGAGACACGGCCCAAACUCCUACGGGAGGCAGCAGUGGGGAAUAUUGCACAAUGGGGGAACCCUGAUGCAGCGACGCCGCGUGGGUGAAGAAGUAUUUCGGUAUGUAAAGCCCUGUCAGCAGGGAAGAAGAAUGACGGUACCUGACCAAGAAGCACCGGCUAAAUACGUG
rnacentral:rRNA from 1 species